rnacentral:lncRNA from 1 species
UUGGUCAUCUGAGUAGACAGAUGAGAAAUAUUCUGCAAACAUAUUGGCAGAGUCCUUGACAUUCAAGCCAACCCUGUCAUUAUAGACCAUUGUAGUUGGUAUGUUAUACCCAUUUCUUUUGCUUUUAAUGUAAGACCAAAAAUAUUUUGGAUUAUCGGAAAUGUUGUUUUGUAUCCUAUCUAAAUACUGUUUCUGACAGUCUGCUCUUAAAAUUUCACACUGAUUUCUUAAAGCCACGAAACGGUCAUAAUCAUCUUGCCUAUUACUAAUUUUAUAUUGUUUGUGGGCCUGUUUUUUACAUACAAUUAGGUUACGUAGCUCUGAGGAGAACCAAGAGGGAAAGGUAGAGAUCUUAUAUUUCUUAAGUGGAACAAAGUGUUCUAUCAAUGAGUAAAUUACAUCAUAAAAAAUGACCACCAUACUAUCAGCUGUACCACUAAGAAACAGUCCCUCCCAAUUUAUACUUGCUAAAUAAUUAUUUAUUGAAAAGUAGUCACCAUUUCUGAAAUCAUAAAAAUAUUCCUCAUAAUUCAUAAAAUCAAGAUUUUCUUCACACACUAGUUCAAAACUGAUAGCUGUGUGAUUUAAGCUAUUCUCAAAAAUUUUAUCUACUGCCGGAGUGACAUUAAUAGAUUCCAAAUUACUAAAAACCAGGUCCAAUGAGACUCCGUUGUUGUUCAAAAUCUCAUUCUUUUGAAAAAAGUUAUGGAAACUAAAGCAAUUUGCUACAAUACUUACAGACUCAUUUUCAGUGCCAGUCACUGUCAAGCCCAGCUCAUCAUUUCCCCAUUUAGCUUGUGGUAGGUUGUAAUCACCUGCCAACACAAACAAACUAUCUGAAAAAUUAUUAUAAACAUAUUCAACAGAUUCACAAUGCCUUAAAUAAGACUGAGAAGGUGAUGGAGAAGGUAUAUAUACACAGCCAAU